rnacentral:rRNA from 1 species
AGAGUUUGAUCMUGGCUCAGGAYGAACGCUGGCGGCGUGCUUAACACAUGCAAGUCGAACGGUGAUGAUGGGGCUUGCCCUGUCUGAUCAGUGGCGAACGGGUGAGUAACACGUGAGUAACCUGCCCCUGACUCUGGGAUAACCGUGGGAAACGACGGCUAAUACCGGAUAUGAGACGUCCACGCAUGUGGAGCGUCUGGAARGUAUUUUAUUGGGUCUGGGGAUGGACUCGCGGCCUAUCAGCUUGUUGGUGRGGUARUGGCCUCACCAAGGCGACGACGGGUAGCCGGCCUGAGAGGGCGACCGGCCACACUGGGACUGAGACACGGCCCAGACUCCUACGGGAGGCAGCAGUGGGGAAUMUUGCRCAAUGGSCGRAAGGCUGACGCAGCGACGCCGCGUGUGGGAGGACGCCUUUCGGGGUGUAAACCACUGUUGCCCGGGACGAACAUCCCUUUUCGAGGGGACUGACGGURCCGGGGUGAGGAAGCACCGGCUAACUCCGUGCCAGCCGCCGCGGUAAUA